UGUGAGAGCUACUUGUGUCUGGAAGGAGGAGGACUUUCUUCCUCUUUGUCUCCCUCACGGCUAUGCACUUUCUGUCCUUGUUUUGUUUUUGUCCCUAAGAGUCAGUUUAGUCCACUCAUCCUGUAGAACAUUAACUUAGUCAUCCCUCACCCACUCCAGAAAGAAAAAAAUAAACAGUUCUCCACUGGGUUAGCAAUGUGAAUCAGCUUGGGAGGGACUCAACAAAGUGCCAAGGAACUGGAAACUAGUGGACAAAAGCAGGAAUGAGAGAAAGGAGGAGAAAGAAGACAUUGCCACUGAAGCUCUCAGCCAGAGAUUUGCAUCUGUGGACAUGGUUGCUGGUAGCUGUGUGAGAGAAAAAUUGAGAGUCACCUGUGCCCUGUCUGUGGUGUGGUUUAUCUUCCCAGCUGGACAGGAUAAGUCCUGGACCAUAUGGUUUUUCUUGAGAUUGUUCCACCUUGUCUCUGGACAAACCAUAUAUGAAGCCUUUUCUUCUGGCAGAACCAGAAAAUGCAGAAAGGUGGGCCAGACACACCAUAAAGAACCAGGCAACAGUAAAUACCUGACUUCAGAAAGCUGGUUUUCUGGAGGAGACAACUGCAUUAGUAUAUGUAGAGUCAUGGUAAUGAUUGACCGAAGGAAUAGCAUGGAUUAUGGUAUUUUGACUUUUUUAUGAUAGAUACUUGCUAUUGAAAACAGAUCUUUCUCAUAUGCAUAAAUCUCAUUUGCACAGAACCCAAAAUGAACAAACACGGCCUUUUUACAAUGCUCUGAAGAGGAAACAAGGGAAAAUAUUGUUGCCAGAUAUAAAUUUAACCACAGGCAUAGAAAAUAUAUUGAGAAUAAAAGUGAACUCCUGUGGUCUGUGAAUACCGCAAAUAAAAAAUUAAGGAUUGAAAUACCUAUGUUAAUGGUUGUUAGAGUACUGCUCUUAUUAACAAAUGCAGUAUAAAGUUAAAGAUUUUUCUUCUCUGUGGAAAGGUGUACUUUGUAAGGUAGCAAUGAAUGAUUUUCUUCACUGAUUUAGUUGUGAAGCAUUCUGAAGUAUGAAACUCACACCUGUCAACUAUAGUGUGCCCAAUCUUUGAUGUUUCCAGUGUAUAUGUCUUCAUCUCAGCUAGCUGUCCUGGCUUCCCUUUAUAGUCACAGAGUGCAACAAAUAUAUGUAUCAGGAUAACAAGCAGCCUACUUCUUGCCUCUUGCCAAAGAUGACACAUUAGAGGACAUCUCAUCAAAACCUGAACUGUCUGAGAACUUCUCCAUCUGUUGGUUGUAUCACGACAAGAUACAAAUCACAUCCACAUGCACACAUGCAGGUGAGCACAGGUUCUCAUUCCGGAAGUACACAGGGUUGGGUGGACUCCAGCCCGUCCAACGUGGGUGGCAGAGAGUAUUCAUGCAGCUGAUUACCUUGCUCUGCAGACCUACCCCAGCAGCCAUCUUGUUCAGUAGCAGGGGAUUUUCACAGCACUGCCUACACAGUGCUGCUUCUGUGACUGUGAAAAAGUACAAGUAUUGCAACAAAUAGGGUGCUUCAGAUGUCAGGGCUGUUUCUUCAGUAUGUUUUCGGAGCAACAAAGUGUACAGGCCUCUUUAAAAGGAUUAAAGUCACAGUAUUUAAAAGGCCACCUGAAAUCUAGGCAAUUCUGUCUGGAGACACAAUCUCCCAUUGUCUUGUAUGACCAACAAGAAUGGUAAAGGUAAAGAGCUCUCCACAAAAAGGACAAGGAGAAAGUUACUCACUAAGGCAAGGCAAAAAUUUACCAAAUUUUUAGAAACAAAGAGACAAUCAUGUAAAAUACAUGUGAUCUCAGCAAAUUAUGGGGAGAGAGAGGUGAAAGUAUUCAGCAUCUCUCACGCUCAAGAUCUGUUUUAUAUUUGGUUGGAUUGUUAAUUGUGCAAAACACUGAGAUCUAAGCACAAAAAAGUGCAUUAACUUUGCAAAAGCAUAUCCCUCUUGUUCAACAAUUAAAAAUGAAAGCAAAGAGUGAUUUAUUCACCAUUUUAAAUCAGCCUUUAGAAUGUAACUCUCAUUCUUUUUGUUUAUAGCUCUCUUUUAUAAGAGGAGGUAAUAAAUGUUUUGGAAAGGACUGAUAUUUUAUGUGUUGUCGAUUUAUAUAAUGGUCUUAAAAGUGAGGAAUUUGGAGUGUUGAAUAAUAACUCUUCCUAGCAUGAGUGAGCAAUAAAGCUGACUGGCACUGAGACUUUGAUGUGCAUCUCUGGGGAAAGUCAAUAUAAAUUCAACUAACAAUUCUAUAAUGCAUUUUGCGUGCACUAUUGUACAGUCUUAUUUCAAAUGUUUAUUUCUGGCUUCAUACAUAUGCAAAUUAAUAUUAAUAUACUGCAAGUCUGCACAAACAAUAUGUGUCCUACUGAGGUCAGUGGGAGUUUUGUCAAUAGUUUCUAUGAAUGCAAAAUUUCAUGUUAGCUGAAGCACAGCUGUCCUGGUUUAAUAGGAUUAAGCUGGAAGUUAAAAGGUUUGUAGCUAGCAAAAAAGUGAGGUCUUUUAAUAGCCUUUCAAGUGAACUGAUGGGGGGAGGGAAGGGGACAACAGGG
ensembl:lncRNA